rnacentral:rRNA from 1 species
AUACGUAGGGUGCGAGCGUUGUCCGGAAUUACUGGGCGUAAAGAGCUCGUAGGUGGUUUGUCGCGUCGUCUGUGAAAUUCCGGGGCUUAACUCCGGGCGUGCAGGCGAUACGGGCAUAACUUGAGUACUGUAGGGGAGACUGGAAUUCCUGGUGUAGCGGUGAAAUGCGCAGAUAUCAGGAGGAACACCGGUGGCGAAGGCGGGUCUCUGGGCAGUACCUGACGCUGAGGAGCGAAAGCAUGGGUAGCGAACAGGAUUAGAUACCCUGGUAGUCCAUGCCGUAAACGGUGGGCGCUAGGUGUAGGGGUCUUCCACGACUUCUGUGCCGUAGCUAACGCAUUAAGCGCCCCGCCUGGGGAGUACGGCCGCAAGGCUAAAACUCAAAGGAAUUGACGGGG